CCGACCGACCGGAAGGCGCCUCGUCCUGUUUCGCGUUCAGAGAAGCGCCUUUCCUAAGGGAGGCCGGCUCAGUGGCGGGGAUGUCGGUGAUGUAAUCCGAGGGCAUCUACGCAGAGGCUUCCGCGCUGGGGAAGGCUUCUCUGGCUGCCCAGGGCUUGGAAAUCCAACCAGAGCCUCCAGGAGCGUCUCCUGCCCUCCUGCUGGCCCCCAGACCCCAUCAUACAUCCCAGCCUCCUGCCACAGGCACCUGGUCUUGUGGCUACUUAGAUGGGGGUGGGGGACACGGGCACCGGCCACAAUGCAUCCUCCCCUCCCUGUACCCAGACACACUGGACUUGACGUGUUUCGCUCCCACGGGACAGGCGUGCAUAGGUCCCCACCUCCUUGCCCCAUUCAGCAUGUGGCAGAGGUCUCGGCAGUGCCCCUUGUUCCACCACUGUGACUGUGCACACACCUGCAGCUUCAGCGGCCACACACACACCCACUGGCCUGCCCCGAGUCCACACUCACCAGAGGCCCCGUGGAUCAGUCUCAGUUUACCAGGAUAAGCCACAGGACACGUGGCCUGAGGGCCAUUGAGGAAGAGGGAACAAGGAAGGGAGGGAGAGAAGGGUGGCCUCUCCACGCCCAGUUUAGGAGGCUCCAUUUGAACAAGGCAGAAGCCAUCCCUCUUUUGUCUUCUCUGGGCACCUGUCCGUCACCACUGCCCUGCUGCACCUUCCCUGGAGGAUGCUCAGGAAUUCGGGACAGCCACAUAGCAUUCAGCCGAAACCCAGGCUCCAGAUCCACCCUGCCUGUGAAUCAUUUGCUCAUUAAUUUGCCAUUAUGACCAUUAUGACCAAGUAUCUCCUGUGGAAUCCAAGCCUCAUCCCCUCCAGAAAGGGAUUUGGGAGUGCUUCCUAAGCCAUGCCUGACACAGAGCCACUUUUUGAGUCAACGCUACUGUUUUUCCUUAUUGAGAACCCACUAUAUGCAGACAGUGUGCUCGGUGCUGGGGCUGCAGAAAUCAAGUUCUCUGCCCUGGAGUGAGCACACCGUCUAGUGGGGGAAACCAAGCUUGUAAACGAAGACUGCAGCCUAAUGUACUGAGAGCUUUGACAGCCCAGGACAGGGAGAGCUCAGAUCUGGGGUGUGGCCAGGGAAGGUUUCCUGGACCCCUGAGCUCAGUCAUUGGCCCAAAGAAAGCCAGGGUGGUCCCCACUAUCUGCAUCUGCAUCACUUCUGGCAGCCCUGCAUCUGGUCACCUGUGUGCCUCUCUGCCCAGCCACCUGCCUUCCAGCCUCACCUCCAGAUUGCACUGGGCCCAGGAGCAUGUCUGGACACCUGCCUCCAUCAGGCGGCUCAUCACACCCAGCUCCAGAGAGAGAGGACUGAGAAUAGCAGAAUGGAAUGAAAAUAAUACCUCCAGAAAAAGGAUCUGAACGUGUGUGUUUGGCUUAUUUCUUGGGACAGGGGCUGUUACGCUGUGCUUCAGCACGAGCCAGUUAGCGAACAGCACGCACCUCAGUGCUCCGCUGUGAUCGUUUCAGAGUGUCGCGCAGGCCUGACUCUGCGGACCCCACCGGCAGGAACCAUGCCCUCAUCACCUCCUACCUCCAGUACCUGGCACC
rnacentral:lncRNA from 1 species